rnacentral:rRNA from 1 species
UAACGAAUCUUCCGCAAUGCGCGAAAGCGUGACGGAGCAAUGCCGCGUGCAGGAUGAAGCCUUUCGGGGUGUAAACUGCUGUCAGGGUUUAGCAACACAAUGAGCAGACCCAAAGGAAGGGCCGGCUAACUUCGUGCCAGCAGCCGCGGUAAUACGAAGGGCCCGAGCGUUAAUCGGAAUCACUGGGCUUAAAGCGUACGUAGGCGGACGCGCAGGCAUCUUGUGAAAUCCCUCGGCUCAACCGAGGAACUGCUUGGUGAACCGCGUGUCUUGAGGCAAGUAGGGGCUGUCGGAACGAUAGGUGGAGUGGUGAAAUGCGUUGAUAUCUAUCGGAACGCCGAAGGAGAAAUCAGGCAGCUGGGCUUGUUCUGACGCUGAGGUACGAAAGCGUGGGGAGCGAACGGGAUUAGAUACCCCCGUAGUCC